CUACACUAGCCCUUUAAAGGGAAACACAUUAAAGCACAUUUAUAUCUGCUUGGUGUCAGCAUGUAGGCAACAAAAAUGCAUUAUGCCCAAAAAAUGCUUUCUAUUAUGUGUAAUAACAUCUAUAUUAUACAUCACAAUGAUGGGCAUUACUGUGGUGUCACUGCCGUAGCUCUCAACAUUAACACUCUGGAAAAACGGACUCUUUCUGAGUAACUUAAGCUUAAAAAUGCUUGAUGGAAAACAAUAUUCAUCAGUGAAUUCAUGUCACUCCCAAAUGAAUUUUAUUUAUCAAUAAUGCAUAAACGUGCAUAACAUAGGUUAUGUUAGUGAUAAUACCCCAGUGGCACCCAACUCCUGGAAAAGAUUGUCCAUGGGUUGCCCAAUACCUAAAGCAGCAGUUACUGCUGUCACUCAUUUCUUGAUGUAUUAACUUCAAAACUCCAGAAAUAGCAAGAACAAGAAAGAAGAGGUGAAGCAACAACAACGCUACAUUCCCAAACAUCAACAUUUUCUCAGAUCAAAACUCCAAGACCUGAAAUGUCAAGCAAAGAUGAACAUCCUUUUAUAGAGUGUCAAACAAGUGGUAAAUAAGAGGGUAGGAGCCUGAAUGUCAUGAUGGCUUGUUCUCAGAUGUCCUGCAUCUUGGACCUCUGGAAUCAUGCUGCCUGUAAGUCACCCCUUACACCCACACCCCUUGAACCAUUCACUCAUGCUGCUUUGAAUGCUUUUCAGGUUAGAUUACUGAACUCACAAGACCUUCUGUGAAAGCAACCUUUACCAGGAACCAUUGGUAUUAUAAAUGGUAGGAAAAUGACAAGAGUGUUGAAGGGAUACAACACUGUGUCGUGGAAAAACAAGCAAAAGGGACUGAAAAUGUUUAACUUGGACAAGAGAAUAUUCAGACACUGAAGACGCUGAUGAAGUUGAAGUGAGAAUUUCUGUAUCAGACUGUGCUAGAUGAUGUCUAAAGAAUUGGAUUUCCACUGCAGUAUUCUAUGCUUUUUUGAACAGCUUUUUAAGGAAGACAGAGUAGCACAUAACGUUUGACACACAAAGUCUACCAGUUGGUUGGUAUAAUCUUGGCAAAGAAAAAAAUUCAAUAAAUCCAAAAAGUUCCUUUCCCAAGAAUACAGGUACUGUAUAUUCUCUGCAUGAAGGAGAAAACUAAGAGGAUGCUGGUGAACGCACAUCCACAGCAGAAACAAUAUUCUGGAUAGCUGUCCUUAGGAAAGAAAGUAUAAUAUGUGAUAUAUUAUUUUCUAUAAUUCAGAAUAAAAAUUUAGAAAACAG
rnacentral:lncRNA from 1 species